CAGGUCUGUCAGACUACCGAAAGCCAUCUAGACCUUCAUCCACAGGAAGGUUUUCUGAAUUCUUUUCCCCUUUAAAAAUCUUCCUCUAGAGUCGCAGAGACCUAUCAGCAGCACAAGUGAGGGGAGCCGGGUAAGAAGCUUUCUGAAGUCCUUGGUCUUUUAAUGACUACCCAAAAAGCUUCAUCUAGCCUGAGAAUCAAGAUGUUUGGCCCAAGAAUCUUGCUAGGUCCAAAACUUCAUCUAUUCUACUCGGCUCAAGGAUGCACUCCAGAAUUUGGCCCAGAAGGAGAAAAAUGUUUGCUGAACAGAAUACUUCUGUCUUUCUCUCAAAACAUGAGCAUCAAAGCAUUUAUCAUAGGACACCGCAUUUGUCCACAGAGAACUCCUUACAGCAGAACCAGACGAUAAGGAGAGACCUGCAGAUUUCCAGGUGAUUGUCUCCUGUGACCAGGAUUGUGACUCUAGAAAGUGCAAGAGCAAAAUGGGCAGAGAGCAGGCAUCCUCCUCCUUCCAAGACACAAG